rnacentral:rRNA from 1 species
GACGUAGGUGGCGAACGUUAUCCGGAAUUAUUGGGCGUAAAGGGUGCGUAGAUGGUCGAAUAAGUUAGCGGUGGGAAAUCGAGGCCCAACCUCGUGGAAGUUGGUAAUACUGUUCGACUGGAGGGCAGGAGAGGUUAACGGAACUCUAUGUGUAGCGGUAAAAUGUGACGAUAUAUAGAUGGACACCAAUAACGGCGAAGGCAGUUAACUAUUCUGUUCCUGACAUUGAGGCAUGAAAGCGUGGGGAGCAAAAAGG